rnacentral:rRNA from 1 species
UACGAAGGGGGCUAGCGUUGCUCGGAAUCACUGGGCGUAAAGCGCACGUAGGCGGCUUUGUAAGUUAGAGGUGAAAGCCCGGGGCUCAACUCCGGAAUUGCCUUUAAGACUGCAUCGCUAGAAUUGUGGAGAGGUGAGUGGAAUUCCGAGUGUAGAGGUGAAAUUCGUAGAUAUUCGGAAGAACACCAGUGGCGAAGGCGACUCACUGGACACAUAUUGACGCUGAGGUGCGAAAAGCGUGGGGAGCAAACAGG